AGAUUGAACGCUGGCGGCAUGCCUUACACAUGCAAGUCGAACGGCAGCACGGGAGCAAUCCUGGUGGCGAGUGGCGAACGGGUGAGUAAUAUAUCGGAACGUGCCCAGUCGUGGGGGAUAACGUAGAGAAAUUUACGCUAAUACCGCAUACGAUCCAAGGAUGAAAGCGGGGGACCGUAAGGCCUCGCGCGACUGGAGCGGCUGAUAUCAGAUUAGCUAGUUGGUGAGGUAAGGCUCACCAAGGCGACGAUCUGUAGCUGGUUUGAGAGGACGACCAGCCACACUGGGACUGAGACACGGCCCAGACUCCGUACGGGAGGCAGCGAGGUGGGAAUUUUGGACAAGUAGGGGGAAACCCUGACUCCAGACCACUCCCGCGU
rnacentral:rRNA from 1 species